UUUUUUAAUUUAAUUUUGGUUUUUAUUUGUUUAUGUAGAUGCUUUAUGUUUUUUGAUGUUUCUGCCGACAAUGCAAUUGGUUAGUUGUGCUCCGUUUCAAUUUGUUUGUUUUAGUUUGACUUGGCACACGGUUUAAGAAAAUAAAAGAAGAAUUUUGAAUCUUGUGAUCUUAAAUUAAAGACUUGUCACCUAGGAUGUUUUAGGGUAAGGAGUUACUAAAUAUAGAAAGUGACAUUUUUUUGAAACAAAUUAAAAAGGGAAGUAACACAACCAAGCGGAAACAGAGGGAAUAACAAUUUAAGUUUGAAUUUCCUAUUUUAGUUUAUAGCCACACAAAUGUCUAUCUAGACCACAAGGUUCAUAAGUCGUCCUUUCAUUCUUAAAGUCCAUGCCCAUACCAUUUUCACAAUGCAAUGUUCUCUAUGCACAUAUCUGACAACAUCUCAGUAUUUCACAUGCUGGUUUUGUAAAUUUGGUAACCAUUGUUGAGUUCUUUUAGCUGAAUUUUCAAAUUGGUAGUUGGGGUUCUCUUAAUGAGUAUUAAAACACAUCACAUGUGUAUCUGCUUACUGUAAGUCACAAGAGGAGUCUGGUGACUCUGCAAAUUCUGUGACAAGUCAAAGAAUUAAUUCACAUGUGUGCCAAACUCAUAGAAGAAGAAAGCAAGAGUGGUAAUAGAAGCAUGUACACUUCUAUACUACUUAAAGAUGACUUUUUUAUGUUAAAGAAAAAGGACAAAAGGCUCCUUUAAUACGCAGAUUGAACUAAAUCUGCUUCCCUGGGAAAAUAUGGUUGUUUGUAUUGUUUUUCCUCGGAAAAAUAUUGCUUUUUCUUAAUUGAGUGUGUGGUGAAAGAUUAGAUUAUUAGAUCAAUUGCCG